AACCCCUGGCCCUGUGCGUCUCUGCUCCUGUCUCCACGCCAUAGACUUCCUGCAGGUCUAUCCCCAGAAGCCACAGUGUUGAGAUUCCUCGUCUACACUCCCUCUGAUUUCUCUUUAAGAAAGAGAGCAGGUAUCUGUAACACUUGCUGGGGCAGGAAGACCAUGGAGCCUUGAGGAGAAGAAAACCAAGGCAACCAAAGCAAAAAAAGUUGGCUCUGUUUUCAGAGAAGCCUGAGAAUAAAAGUGUGACUGUAAAGCAAACAAACAAACCAAAGCUGGAAGCCGCAGUCCCACACUCGGCUGGAAUGGAGCAUUGCCUACAUACCCUGCUGCACUGAGACUCAAUCUCAUGGCUUUUCCGUUUUCAGGAUUCCUCCUGCACGCUAACUUCUCAGCAACUGACUUUGGAUGGAAGUCCUGGCUGGGGAAGUGAUUCCAUCGUGGUGUUCCUUUCAACUCCAACUGACCACUUCCCAUCCCUUUAGCUGUGAGGAAGAACCAAACGUUCCCUAGCUCAACAUUUUCAGAAGGGCAUGUUCCAGUCUCCUCCUAAAACAGACUCGAGAAACAGGCCAAGUAGCAGCCUUGGCUUAACCAGCAUAGGCUCACACAAGGACAGGAAAUUCAUCUGGGCUGCUGACAUUCUGAAUAGCUGCCACCUUCGAUGCCAGGAGAGGAGC
rnacentral:lncRNA from 1 species